CACACAACUCACCCAACAACCAACAUGAAUCCUACAACUAUGACAGCUUCAAGACCUGUGACAGAUGUAGCUGAAACCCAUCCAGCUCAAACAUCAGCCACAAAGACUGUUAAUAGUGAAAUACACAGCACGGAUGAGAAAAACAAGUAUUUAAAGCAUUUCAAUCUGCAUUUGCUUGACACUGUAUCUCUAAAUUAA
rnacentral:lncRNA from 1 species